GCAGUAGCCGCGGGAAUACGGAGGGUGCAAGCGUUAUCCGGAUUUAUUGGGUUUAAAGGGUCCGUAGGCGGAUCUGUAAGUCAGUGGUGAAAUCUCACAGCUUAACUGUGAAACUGCCAUUGAUACUGCAGGUCUUGAGUAAAUUUGAAGUGGCUGGAAUAAGUAGUGUAGCGGUGAAAUGCAUAGAUAUUACUUAGAACACCAAUUGCGAAGGCAGGUCACUAAGAUUUAACUGACGCUGAUGGACGAAAGCGUGGGGAGCGAACAGGAUUAGAUACCCCGGUAGUCCCUGUCUCUUAUAA
rnacentral:rRNA from 1 species